rnacentral:rRNA from 1 species
GAUGAACGCUGGCGGCGUGCCUAAUACAUGCAAGUCGAGCGAACGGACGAGAAGCUUGCUUCUCUGAUGUUAGCGGCGGACGGGUGAGUAACACGUGGAUAACCUACCUAUAAGACUGGGAUAACUUCGGGAAACCGGAGCUAAUACCGGAUAAUAUUUUGAACCGCAUGGUUCAAAAGUGAAAGACGGUCUUGCUGUCACUUAUAGAUGGAUCCGCGCUGCAUUAGCUAGUUGGUAAGGUAACGGCUUACCAAGGCAACGAUGCAUAGCCGACCUGAGAGGGUGAUCGGCCCCACUGGACCUGAGACACGGUCCAGACUCCUACGGGAGGCAGCAGUAGGGAAUCUUCCGCAAUGGGCGAAAGCCUGACGGAGCAACGCCGCGUGAGUGAUGAAGGUCUUCGGAUCGUAAAACUCUGUUAUGAGGGAAGAACAUAUGUGUAAGUAACUGUGCACAUCUUGACGGUACCUAAGCAGAAAGCCACGGCUAACUACGU